AUCGUUCAUCCGUAGAAAACAUCGGUGCACGCUGACGUCGUGGAAUUAUUCGUCUCUCGUUGUCGUUUCCCUUCGUGGCCGAGAGCAUCGAAGAGCCAACGACUGACUGGCGAGCGUCGCGCGCGCGUGUCUUUGUUUUUUUCUCCCUUUGCCUUCUCGGUGCUGAAUAACUGGUCAGUUGCGGGAAAUCGAGAGUGUGUUGUACAAGAGUGGUGAAAGACUUUCAGUUAUUCGUGGAUCCUGCGGUGGUAAACAAUCCGUAAGCAGUCAGAGGCCCUUCCUGAGGCGGACGAUCGAGCUCAGCUGAUUCAAGGACUUGCUGCGAAGGGCUCUGCUGCGAUUAAUAGGCGAUAAAUAUGUCGUCCCCCAGCGCUGGAAAACGACGUAUGGACACGGACGUUCUCAAAUUAAUAGAAAGCAAGCAUGAGGUGACGAUACUAGGAGGAUUAAACGAAUUUUCCGUCAAAUUCUACGGUCCACGAGGCACGCCUUACGAGGGUGGAAUAUGGAAGGUGAGGGUUCACUUGCCCGACCACUACCCCUUCAAAUCUCCUUCGAUCGGCUUUAUGAACAAGGUGUACCACCCUAACAUUGACGAGGUCUCAGGCACCGUGUGUCUAGACGUAAUAAACCAAGCCUGGACUGCCCUUUACGAUUUAUCGAAUAUAUUCGAGUCUUUCCUGCCCCAACUGUUAACAUAUCCUAAUCCAAUUGAUCCCUUAAAUGGCGACGCUGCGGCCAUGUAUUUACAUAAACCUGAGGAGUACAAGAAGAAAGUAGCAGAUUACGUGAGGAAAUACGCGACAGAGGAGGCGCUAAGGGACCAGGAGAACGGCGGCACCGGGAACGGGAUGUCGUCCGACAGCGAGUCUUCGAUGAGCGACUUCAGCGAGGACGAGGCGCAGGACAUGGAGUUGUAACCAAAUAUUUUACCAUCCAUAACCAUAUCCUUAAUCUCGAUUCCCUGUAAACUCCGAUCGCUCGUCCUACCAAAUAGAUGCUUACAUUCGAACCUCCCGGACCUCACUAUUAUCGGUUUUUAGCCGCGUGUGGCACUCUCGUCACUUUGUUUCCAAUAGAGAGACCAUCCGGAAUCACGUCCAUCGUUGCUGUUUUAUAAAUCGCGAGGCGUGAAAGGAAACCAAAAAAAGAAAAUAAGAAAAAAACGGUGAUAUGGGAUACGUUUACAGCGAAAGAACGAAGGAACUACUACUAGAAAAAAAAAAAAAAGAGAAAGAAAAACAAAUACAAAGGAAACGAAGUAUAUCAUGUAUAUAAACGAGAAGGAGAGAAUCGCUUUUGGAGUUCUCUUUACGCGAUGAUGGCGUAUGCGCUUUGGUCGUCAUCGUCGCCGUCGAGGAUCAGAAUCGUGUGAACGUCGACCUGGGGACGGGGACGCGACACUACUAAUUACCGAUCGAGAAUCAUUCUUAUUACCGCUCUGUCGAUCGACGCCCAGUCCGAUAUUACUUCAGAUUCAUUGAUAAACGAAUGAUUCCGCGGGGUUUCAAUGUCUACGGAUGAUUGGCGAACAAUAGUGCCGCGAAACGGAUGAGACGAAUUUCCGUGGAAACACUUUUUCUUUAUAAUAUAUAUUAUGUAUAUAUUCCUUGUUCGAAAUGUUUCGCCCUCCUGGUUCUUUCCUUUCUUUUUUACCGAUCAUCGACACUGGUAGCCGUACACCAGAGAUGGGCACAUAACUCGAAUACUGCCUAACGAAUAGAGACACUGUCUACGGAUGUCAUUGUCACACGUUCAUUCGGUCAAACAGGGCGCAGCGGCGGGAAAAGGCGACAGUGUUGAGGACACUAACUUAUCCACGGUAUAAACGGCGACUGAGUUGCGACCAUACGGUCGGGACGUCGCAACCGCAGUUGAAAUCCGCACGUUUCGUCGGAAGGAGAACGAUCGAAGACGCGGGUCAGUUUGAGACGACCGAUCCGGCCGGCUGUCUCGGGAAUUAUCGAGUGUUCGCCCAGUUACGGGAAGAGGAGACGGGCGCAUCGUUCACGGCGGACUCGCGCCAAUAUUCGGAGAUGGACGUUGAUUUAAUUGACGCGGGAGGAAGUAGAAGCGAUCUGGACGCCGCGACGGUUUAGUGUGUCGGAUCCGUUCAAAUCACUGGGAUGAACACCAUUUUUAUUUUAUACACUUCGUGAACAAAGGCCGUCCAUAUUGAACUGGAUUAACAGGCGAUUGAAAAAUUUCACGGUCGGGACAAGAGCAAUUGUUAAAAGUGAUUCUUCUUGUUUU
rnacentral:misc_RNA from 1 species